rnacentral:tRNA from 1 species
GGCCGCGGUAGCUGAGUGGUUGGUAUUGGGUACUGCCAUUCGGAAGGCCCGGGUUCAAGUCCCGGUGUGAUCA